GACGGAAGAUGCAAGUGUUAUCCGGAAUCACUGGGCGUAAAGCGUCUGUAGGUGGUUUAAUAAGUCAACUGUUAAAUCUUGAGGCUCAACCUCAAAAUCGCAGUCGAAACUAUUAGGCUAGAGUAUAGUAGGGGUAAAGGGAAUUUCCAGUGGAGCGGUGAAAUGCGUAGAGAUUGGAAAGAACACCGAUGGCGAAGGCACUUUACUGGGCUAUUACUAACACUCAGAGACGAAAGCUAGGGUAGCAAAUGGG
rnacentral:rRNA from 1 species